CCCGGAGAAGGGGGCGGGGUCCCGGGGUGAUUAGGGGCGUCCCUCAGGGCGCCGCUUGCUGCCUCGGCGCUGGACCCACCCUCCCGGGCGGGCAGCGCUGCCCAGGUCCUGAGAGCAAAAGGAAACCGGACUGAGCGCCAAGGAUGUGUCGGGUGCACCCCAGGCCUAGGCCUCUAUUACGCACAGCAGGACCAGAAUUUAGGAUGAUUCAAUCUCACCUCUACAGCCUCGAUUCCACUAUUGCUUGAUCCGGCUCGAAUUUCCGUUGGGGACCUACUCGAAGUGCACUAUAAACGACUAAACUGAAUCCA